AUGAGACAGGCAGUUCUGGAGAAGAAAGCAGCAGUGAUGAAGGCGGUGUACAAGGACAACACGCAGCGCACAGUUAUUACGUGUCGCUGCACCAGGGUGGCGUAGGCAGCAGCAGAAUUACUAUCCCAGGAGAGGACAAGGAUACUCAUCAAGAAACAACUCUGAGCCCUGGGGCAAGUGGAUCUGAAGAAUGGGACAGUGGUGUGCAACAGUACACAGAACACACAUCGCUUCAUCCACAUAGUGCUGUCUGCAGCCCAACGGAUCCACCACCGGAUCAACAAGAAUCACAAGCAUCGCAUACAGUUGAUGCAGAGCGUACUAUUGACGAACUCAGGGCAGCGAAGGCGAAUUUGGAGAAGAGGUUGUUGAUUGCUGAGAAGAGUUGUGAAGCACAAAAAAACAGAAACUUAAACA